CCUACGGGGUGCUGCAGUGGGGAAUAUUGGACAAUGGGCGAAAGCCUGAUCCAGCCAUGCCGCGUGUGUGAAGAAGGCCUUCGGGUUGUAAAGCACUUUCAGUGGGGAAGAAAGCCUUGGGGCUAAUACCCUCGAGGAAGGACAUCACCCACAGAAGAAGCACCGGCUAACUCCGUGCCAGCAGCCGCGGUAAUACGGAGGGUGCGAGCGUUAAUCGGAAUUACUGGGCGUAAAGCGCGCGUAGGCGGUCUGAUAAGCCGGUUGUGAAAGCCCCGGGCUCAACCUGGGAACGGCAUCCGGAACUGUCAGGCUAGAGUGCAGGAGAGGAAGGUAGAAUUCCCGGUGUAGCGGUGAAAUGCGUAGAGAUCGGGAGGAAUACCAGUGGCGAAGGCGGCCAUCUGGACUGACACUGACGCUGAGGUGCGAAAGCGUGGGUAGCAAACAGGAUUAGAUACCCUUGUAGUC
rnacentral:rRNA from 1 species